AAAUUGAAGAGUUUGAUCAUGGCUCAGAUUGAACGCUGGCGGCAGGCCUAACACAUGCAAGUCGAACGGUAACAGGAAGAAGCUUGCUUCUUUGCUGACGAGUGGCGGACGGGUGAGUAAUGUCUGGGAAACUGCCUGAUGGAGGGGGAUAACUACUGGAAACGGUAGCUAAUACCGCAUAACGUCGCAAGACCAAAGAGGGGGACCUUCGGGCCUCUUGCCAUCGGAUGUGCCCAGAUGGGAUUAGCUAGUAGGUGGGGUAACGGCUCACCUAGGCGACGAUCCCUAGCUGGUCUGAGAGGAUGACCAGCCACACUGGAACUGAGACACGGUCCAGACUCCUACGGGAGGCAGCAGUGGGGAAUAUUGCACAAUGGGCGCAAGCCUGAUGCAGCCAUGCCGCGUGUAUGAAGAAGGCCUUCGGGUUGUAAAGUACUUUCAGCGGGGAGGAAGGGAGUAAAGUUAAUACCUUUACUCAUUGACGUUACCCGCAGAAGAAGCACCGGCUAACUCCGUGCCAGCAGCCGCGGUAAUACGGAGGGUGCAAGCGUUAAUCGGAAUUACUGGGCGUAAAGCGCACGCAGGCGGUUUGUUAAGUCAGAUGUGAAAUCCCCGGGCUCAACCUGGGAACUGCAUCUGAUACUGGCAAGCUUGAGUCUCGUAGAGGGGGGUAGAAUUCCAGGUGUAGCGGUGAAAUGCGUAGAGAUCUGGAGGAAUACCGGUGGCGAAGGCGG
rnacentral:rRNA from 1 species